GGGACCGCACAAGCGGUGGAUGAUGUGGUUAAUUCGAUGCAACGCGAAAACCUUACCCACCUUUGACAUGUACGGAAUCCUUUAGAGAUAGAGGAGUGCUCGAAAGAGAGCCGUAACACAGGUGCUGCAUGGCUGUCGUCAGCUCGUGUCGUGAGAUGUUGGGUUAAGUCCCGCAACGAGCGCAACCCUUGUCAUUAGUUGCUACAUUCAGUUGGGCACUCUAAUGAGACUGCCGGUGACAAACCGGAGGAAGGUGGGGAUGACGUCAAGUUCUCAUGGCCCUUAUAGGUGGGGCUACACACGUCAUACAAUGGAUGGUACAAAGGGUCGCCAACCCGCGAGGGGGAGCCAAUCCCAUAAAGCCAUUCGUAGUCCGGAUCGCAGUCUGCAACUCGACUGCGUGAAGUCGGAAUCGCUAGUAAUCGUGGAUCAGAAUGUCACGGUGAAUACGUUCCCGGGUCUU
rnacentral:rRNA from 1 species